UACGGAGGGUGCAAGCGUUGUUCGGAAUUAUUGGGCGUAAAGAGCUCGUAGGCGGUCUGUCGCGUCUGCUGUGAAAACUCAGGGCUUAACCCUGAGCUUGCAGUGGGUACGGGCAGACUAGAGUGCGGUAGGGGAGACUGGAAUUCCUGGUGUAGCGGUGAAAUGCGCAGAUAUCAGGAGGAACACCGGUGGCGAAGGCGGGUCUCUGGGCCGUAACUGACGCUGAGGAGCGAAAGCAUGGGGAGCGAACAGG
rnacentral:rRNA from 1 species